ACUGCAUACAUCUGCUGCUCUAAUUAGAAAGUUUGCCUAGGGUGCUGGUAUCAGAAAGAAUGGGGAAAAAUAGUGCUGCACAAUCUGUUGUAACAGAGCAAUUCCUGCAAAAUGUGAUUUAUACAAAUUUCUGAUUAACCCUUCUACUUCUGCUGGAAUACUCAGCUGCCAUUUCAGUAAGUUCUGUACAGGCAGUACUGUGUCAGCCUUAUCUGGCUGGGUUGCUACGUUUAAAUGCUGUCUUUAUAUACUAAAUCUAGUGUUCUUAAGUGCUUUGCUCUGUGGUGCAAAGACUAUUGCUGCUUUGUACAACAGAAAAGACUGGGCCUUGCACCUCUCCAGCAACUGAGAAUACACUAGCAAUUGUGGUUCUCUGUGCUGAUCCCUUUACUGAUUUCUGCUAAGUCUUCAGUUUAUGUUCUUUUGCAGAGGCAGUAUGCGUCAGGAGUAAUAGCAUAAAAAUUGUUUUGGUAGUCCAAGGAUAGUCGCUCAUUUUUGGGGGAAACCUGUGGAGUUGGGGCCAAAAUCAGUUGCAGUGCAAUGAUGAUCAAGAGCAGGCCUUUUUACUAGUUGGGCUGUAUUGUAUCUCAUCUACUUUAACAGCAUGCAGGCUGCAGUCAAAAUAAAUAGCUGUGGUUAUGAGAAGAAUUAAUCAGAAUUGUACAGUAAGAUUGGCUUUCACUUGCUUGCUGACUUUAAAUUGGCAAUUCACUGAAUAUUUCCUGGAAAAGGACCAGUUUCAACAAAUACUUGCUUUUAUAUGCACAGCAAGAGUUUGUUAUAGAACUCAAAUUCAUUAUAGAUUUCUGAAGAAACCUGGUGGGCUUGGUGGUAAGAAUAGAGGGCUAGGCCUGUUUCUCCAUAAACCUCAUUUGUGUUAAUAAGUAAUUUCAAUACAGAGCAAUUUUAAGACCCUGAAAAGAAAGCAAAGUAAAGUUUUAUUUAAAGCAAAGGAAUUAUUUCCUAAGAUGUUUGUGCUUCAGAAAAAGUGAAAUAUAAUCAAUCACUUGAAAUUUUCUUUUAUCAACCAUUCCAAAUGUUUGAGUAGUUAAAUGUCCUAAAGGUAAGUACAGAUGUUAGAGGAGAUGCAACUCUAUUUUGCAUGUCAAAUUAUCUGUUCAUACUAUGGUACUGCAGAACAGUGAAGAGGUACAGCAACUUUUCACAUACAGUAAUUGUUUAUAAAAGCAAAAUCUGAUGUAGAAAUUGGAGAUGCAGCACCCUAAUGUGGAUAACUUCCUAAUAUAUGUUGUAUUUGAAUUUUUUGUACUGAUAUCUUUACAGUCAGAAAAAAUGAAGCACUAUGAUGCAAAGGGAUAUCAUCUCUUUCAGAGCAUCCUGCCUGAUGUACAUUUGGACUUGAACUUCUUACUUUCACAGUUUCAGGUCUUAGCUGUUCCAAGUACUUAAGUAUGUCAUUAACUCCAUGGUCAGUCUGGCUAUUAAAGUAGGCUGUUUUCAAGUGUGGAUACUGAAGUAGUCUUCUUGAAGGCCACAAGUGAGAAUGCAAGAAUGGUGUCUAGAAUGUGCAUACAUUAAUAGAUCUGUGGAUAAAUAGCAUAGUCUUAUGCAUAAGUCAUAUACUCUUUAUUUUAAUGAAAGGUCAGAAAUGUUCUAAAUAAUGAACAGGCUGUGUUUUAGUGCCAGGAUGUUGAGGGGAUUGAGAAAGGAGUGGAAAAGAGGAAUCAUUCCUUUGUCACUCAUUUGUUCCCUCAGCAACAAACAGAAAAUCAAAGAAAUCUGAUUAAAAUGAUGAGAGACUUUAGGUGACCUGGUGUUGUAGUUAAGUUUAUUUUCCUUGUAGGGCAUGCUUGAAGUGUUCUAAUUAUGGGUAUUACAGGUUGGUUUUUUUUUUUUUUUUUUGGAGUAUAAUUUCCACUAAACUGGAAUUUAUGAUUCUAGGGAGGAUCUCACAAGGGAGUACUUUAUAAAAUUUCAUUCCUAUCGUUCUAAAUGAUUCUGCUUUUCAGGAAUUUCUGUGGGUCAUUAGCUUUUAUGCAGUAUGCUAUGUUCAUUUUUGUGCUUUUGACAGGGAUAUUAUUCACGCUGUAACUGGUGUUCAAGUUUCUUCAAUGAUUUCACUGUCCAUAAAAACCUUAGGAAGAGUUAAUAAUAUUCCUUUGAAUGUACUGGUACUCUACAUGCUUAUUCACGUUGGACAUACACCAAGAUCUCUUGCAUGUCCUUUCUAAAUCCCUCUUGGUACAUAAGCAAAAUUGAAUUAAUUACAGAAUGAUAUUCCAUCUUCAGCAAAUAUGUACUCAUUAUAAUCUGCAAUUCUGAUUAUUUUUUUUUUUUCCCUGCCUGCCUCAUCAGCAGAAAAGACCAUAUAUAUAUAUAGGCAAAUUCUUUUCUGCAGUUCUCAAUUCCUCAGCCAAUGGUACAAGACCAAAAGGAUGUCAGGAGCUGGUUCUUACACUCACAGGGAGUGUGUCAGCAGAGCUGUUUGUUUCUUUCACCCAUCUCAGAAAUGAUUGCUCUUAAAAAAACCAACCAAACAAACAAACAAAAACCUGCAAAUCAGAAGCAACUGUCAAAAAGUGCAAAUGUGUCUAAAGCCAGAAAUGUGGCAGCCUGGAGAUGUUCCAGUGGUACCUGAAAUUUUGGUGGCAUAUUUUCUAUGAACUUGACUUUUUAACCAGUCUCAUCCCUUUGUUAGUGCAUCAUGGGGAUCUGAUAGUCAGUGCUGUUGUGAAGAUGUAGUCAAGCCAGUCCUUCAUGGCUGUGUUUAGGCAUGCCAUGCUUCCCACUUGCAGCAAUGGCCGCUGCCAUGGGUGUUGGCACAGGUACAGCUGCAUGCCCAUGGACAGGCAUACCCAGCCUCAUCCUUCAAUCUCACAGGUACAGCUGUGCUCUCAGACACAGGACGCAGCCUUGCACAGGCACAGCUAUGAGAGGAGGCCAGUCUGGGCCUGGCAUCAGGAAAGCCACAGGACUUCUGCCUAACCCUCACUUCUGAUUCCAACCACCUCCUGACCUUGCUGUUGGCUGAAAGGGCCUGGUGCCCUCACUUUCCUCUCCUGAGCUCUGUAACUUCCUCAUCUGCUUUUCCUGCCCAGGGUGCAGCCCUCUUUGUUCUCUCCAGGGUGAUUGUGUCACAAUGACGUCACUGUGGCACAGCCUCCAGUGCCCACUGUGACAUACCACGGCUCAGCUUGCAUCAGCAUCAGGAGGAGGUGGGCAGGCUGAUGGGUAUUAGGGAGCUGGAGAAGGAAAUGUGUGGACUGGAGAGUUGAGUGGGGAGGAGCCUGAUGAAAUUCAGCAAGGGGAACCAUCUUAAACCCAGGGCAAGAAACAUAAAGUCACUUGGCUGUCCCUUAUUUCUAAGGGCACCUGAUGCAUAAGUGGACUAGAGAAAGGAAAGAAAGAAAACCUCCAAAGACCUACAGAUCAUCUUGCUGGCAGGGGUACACCUCCUGGCUAGUAAAAGAGCUGCAGAACAUGCCUGGCACACAGCGUUGAAGUGCUUUGAACUUUGCCACGUCAGAACUACUUCAAAGGAUGAGGAGAGCUAGGGAAUGGCCACAUACAUGGACAAAGUGCAUCUCUCCCAUCCUAUCUAGUUUUGAAGUAGUUUUGUUGAAAAAGUAAAAUGUGCGAUUUGGUCCUUUUUCAAAUAAAAACAGAUGGUAGAAGAUUUUUUUCAGUGUUCCC